rnacentral:rRNA from 1 species
GGUUAAGCGUAUUCUGGCUGAUAACUACGUCCGCCCGGAUGAAGCAGAGAAGGUGAAAUCGCUCAUUCGUGAGCGAGGAUCCUACAAGAUCAUCGAUAAAGUGUCGGUAAAGCUCAAUCAGAAGAAAUGGUAGUCCACGCCGUAAACGAUGUCUACUUGGAGGUUGUGCCCUUGAGGCGUGGCUUCCGGAGCUAACGCGUUAAGUAGACCGCCUGGGGAGUACGGCCGCAAGGUUAAAACUCAAAUGAAUUGAC